AUGGUUGCCCUUUUGGCACAGAUUGUGUGUUUACAGUAUAUAUAUAUAUAUAUAUAUAUAUAUAUAUAUAUAUAUAUAUAUAUAUAUAUAUAUAUACUGUAAACACACAAUCUGUGCCAAAAGGGCAACCAU
rfam:Trichuris muris Edinburgh genomic scaffold, scaffold183